CAGCAGCCGCGGGAAUACGAAGGGUGCAAGCGUUACUCGGAAUUACUGGGCGUAAAGCGUGCGCAGACGGUUAUAUAAGACAGAUGUGAAAUCCCCGGGCUUAACCUGGGAACUGCAUUUGAAACUGUCAGGCUGGAGUCUUGUAGAGGGGGGUAGAAUUCCAGGUGUAGCGGUGGAAUGCGUAGAGAUCUGGAGGAAUACCGGUGGCGAAGGCGGCCCCCUGGACAAAGACUGACGCUCAGGUGCGAAAGCGUGGGGAGCAAACAGGAUUAGAUACCCGAGUAGUCCUGUCUCUUAUACA
rnacentral:rRNA from 1 species